UCAUUCUUUCGGGGAUUUUGUGUAAGUCAAAAUCGGUGGUAAGUCACGUUCAUGUAAACUGAACGUGAUAAACUCCACGACCCUGUACCAUCUGGUACAGGGAUGAACCGGCGUAACUCCGGUAGCGACCGUAUAGUCGGGAUAAAAGAAAGAAAAC
rnacentral:ncRNA from 2 species